rfam:Ornithorhynchus anatinus chromosome 4, whole genome shotgun sequence.
CCCCUCCCAGUAUGACACCUGGAGAGUUUCCAGUCCUCUACCAGUCUCGGCUACGGGAGGGAUAGUGAAGCAGAGGCAUACCCAUUCCAUUCCUAGCUUGGCCAGUGGCUCGCAAGUGGAAGGCAAUCUGCUACAAGU